rnacentral:rRNA from 1 species
UACAGAGGGUGCGAGCGUUAAUCGGAUUUACUGGGCGUAAAGGGCGUGUAGGCGGGAAAUUAAGUCAGACGUGAAAUCCCCGGGCUUAACCUGGGGCUGACGUAUGAAACUGAUUAUCUAGAGUGGAGUAGAGGGUAGUAGAAUUUCCGGUGUAGCGGUGAAAUGCGUAGAUAUCGGAAGGAAUACCGGUGGCGAAGGCGGCUACCUGGACUCUAUCUGACGCUGAGGCGCGAAAGCGUGGGGAGCGAACAGG